UGUUUCCACCGCCUUUCCUGACCGACUCCCCCCAUUGUCUAUAAAUACCCACCUCUUCCCCAAUCAGAUCCUCAUCGUUCUAACCUUAUGGUUUCUUCCGUUUUAGGUUUUUAGGUAUAAGAUCGGUCUUGGGGAAGUUCUCCGUGUUGGGCUUUUUGGUGCCGAUCAUCUUCCUUGUGAAAUCCGGGUUCGUUUCUCCUAAUUAUUUUGUCCGUUAGCUGAAAGGGAAGGAUUUUUUUCGUUAUAGAUUUGUUUCAAUACUUAACCGUCGGUGAUGGUUUUAUGUUUCUUGCGCAUCCGUUCCAAUUCUACGGAGAAGAGCGACGGUUUCAUAGUCGUUCGGAUUUAUAUUAUGCUUUUGGAUUGUGCUUUUAUGGAGGAUUGAUUGCGAGAUUCUUGAAUUUUUGAAAGGAUGUGGUCUUCUUUGCGUUAGGUUUUUUGUUGCAUCGCCGAUCAUCUUUGCUGUGAAAUCCGGGCUUUUUCUUCUGAUUGCGUUGUCCUUUGGCUGGAAGGGAAGAAUUUUCUUUCCCGUUAAAGGUUCGGAUUUUCCUUCAAUACUUAUCGUUUGUCGAUGGUAUCGGUAAUAUUUUUUGCUUCUUGCUUAUCCGUCCUAAUGCUAUGGAGAAGAGCGACGGUUUCAUAGUCGUUCUGUUGGGUUGUGUUUUUAUUGACGAUUGGUUUCUAAAUUCUUGAAUUCUUGAAAGGAUGUGAGCUUCUUCGUGUUGGGUUUUUUGAUGCAUCGCCGAUCAUCUCCGCUGCGAAAUCUGGGUUUUCUCUUCUAAUUGCGUUGGUUGAAAGGGAAAAAUUUUCUUUACCGUUAAAGAUUCGGAUUUUCCUUCAACACUUACCAUUGUUGAUGGUUUUCUUAUGAUAUCGUUUAUCGAUGGAGAAAAUUGAUUUCAGAUGGUAACGAUAAAGGUUUCUGUGUUUCUUCUUUUCCUUCAAUAGUUACCGUGGAUGAUGGUAUUCUUAUGAUAUGGUUUGUCGAUGAAGAAAAGUGAUUUCAGAAGGUAUCGGUAAUUCUUUUUUGCUUCUUACUUAUCCGUCCUAAGGCUAUGGAGAAAUACACGGUUUCAUAGUUGUUCGGAUUUAUAUUAUGCUGUUGGGUUGCGCCUUUUGAUGGUUCGUUUCAGAAUCGUGCAUUUUUUAAAGGAUGUCCAUCAUGGAGAAAGCGACGGUUUCAUAGUUGCCAAAUCUGGAUUUUUCUCCAAAUUACGUUGUCCGUUGGUUGAAAUGGAAUUUUCUUUUUCAUUAAGUUAUGCUUCUUGCAUAUCCGACUUGAUGCUUUGGAGAAAGACUGACAGAUUCAUAUAAUUCUUUUUGGAUUGUGUUUGUUGAUGAUUGGUUUUGAAAUUCUUGUAUUUUUUAUUGGAUGUGGUUUCUUAUUCUUUCAAGUGUUAAUUUCAGCAAUAAGAAUAUUUACCUCGUGGAGAAUGCGGAAGAAAGGAAAUCCAAUAAGAGUAUAUAUACCUCAUUCAAUACCGCUAAAUUUUCCUCAUAUCUUUAAACAAUAUGAUGAUAUUUAUACAAGGUCGUGCUAAUUUCAGCAAUGAGUAUUUGCCUCAUUGAUUUAUAUUUCAUGACUCCGGCAUUUGUCACAAGUUUUCUUUCCCCUCAUUUUCAAGACACGAGGAAGUUGUUCUGCAUGUUUCGAUAAUUUUUCUUGUUCAUUUUGUGGCAUUGAAAUUAUCUUGUUCAUUUUGUGGCAUUGGAUUUGCAUUUUCUUCUCUUAGGCCUCCGAUUUUAAGAGGAAUAUAUAUUUAUUACUUAUUGCAUGAUUUGCUGACAGCUUUGGUCAUUUUUGUUCGUAACAUAAUUUCCUUUUUUGAUGGUAAUUUGUCAGUUUGUGAUAUGGUUAUGGCUGCCGGGGGCAAAUCGUCUUAUGGCAUUGAAAAACCGGUUUUUGGUUUAUUCAUCUUUGAUUUGACAUGAGUUAGGCUUUCUAAGGUUUGUGUCUGCAAAUCACAUUCUUGGUACUGGUGCAACCAAGUUUGGAACUGGUCCAAAGCUUCCACAAUUCUCGAUGAAUUUCAGCACCAAGUAAACUAUGCUUCAAUAUAUUCUUGUGAAUAUCGCUUGUGGUUUUCUAAUAUGGAAUUCUCGAUCGAGUGCAUGAAAUAGUAUGUUCCUGAUAGGUCCAUAGGACUGUUGAAUUCGUCAUGGUUUUUCUUGUGAUUUGAGCAACAGAGCCCUAUUCUUAUGUUUAUUUUUUCCUUCAAAAUCCACUGUGUAGGAGCUGCAGAAGCAAGGGAACUCUAGUUUUUCUUAUCAUCAUGUCACAUUUGCUUGGGCUUUUUAACGUUUUUGAACGGUUGCUUUAAUCACCUGGAUUGCACAAUCGCAGAAAAUCAAGGCGAUGGUUAUUUAUCUACUCUAUUUCACAUUUUGGUCUAUUCAUAUUCACACUUCAACAGUAAAUCUGUUUAGUAUACGAUCUAUCUCAUGGAGUUUGAAGUUGGGCUACAACUCCUUACUGCAGUUGGUUGCAGCAAAGUUUUUUUGGUCCUGAUCAAUAUGGUUCCCCUUCUACAGGAUUAAAACCAUGAAACACACUACAGUUGGCUGGCUUGCAAAUCUGCAACACUGAAUUUUGCUUUAUGGUUGACUGCCUUGCUUUAUCUACUCUAUUUCACAUUUCGGUCUAUUCAUAUUCACACUUCAACAGUAAAUCUGUUUAGUAUAUGAUCUAUCUCAUGGAGUUUGGAGUUGUGCUACAACUCCUUACUGCAGUUGGUUCCACCAAAGUUUUUUUGGUCCUGAUCAAUAUGUUGCCCCUUCUACAGGAUUAAAACUAUGAAACACAUUACAGUUGGUUGACUGCCUUGGAAAGCACAGGAUUGAAACUAUGAUUCAAACUACACUACGGAUGGCUGGCUUGCAAUUUGUAACACUGACUUUUGCUUUAUGGUUGACUGGCUUGGAAACCAUGAGGCCAAAUAAGUUCCUCCCAGUGCCCGCAGAAACCAGAAAACUGUUAUUUUUCCUUCUCUUCAUUCCGCUUUUGCCGAAAAGUCUGUUCAUAUAUAGUUUUCUUUAACCGGAUCCUGUUCCUUAUUUGAUUUAUUUAGGGUUGGUGCUUUACAACUUUUUACUGUGUUGGGUUCGAGCAAAGUUUGUUCUUCUAGAUCAAUUCUGUUUAUUCAAGAGGAGUUUAAAUUUAUAGCUAUUCUUUACUUUCUCCGCUGCGGGUUUCUUCUACUGGGGUACAAAUAAAUCUAUCCAUUACUUUCUCCAUGGCUGCAUGAUAAUCCUUGAAUUAAUUUAAAGUCUCUUGGUAUUUAAAAAAGUGGCGUUUCUGUUGUGAAUUAUUAAUCUAUUCCAGAACCAGUUAAAGUCGGAUGCUUUAACAUGUUUUCUGUCUAAAUUCCAUUGAGGUGUAGGUUUGGAUUUCCUUUCGAAGUUACAUCUUUCAUGGAGUCCCCAUUCUUGAUCUUGGGUGAUAAUGUUAACUGGAGCUGCAGAAGCAAGGGAACUCUUAUUUGUUCCUAUCUUCAUAUCACAUUUGCUUGGGCAUUUUAAUGUUUGAGAUCAGAGGGCCUUGUUUAUGGUCUGGAUUGCACGAUCCCAUAGAAGCAAGGCACUGGUUAUUUUUUCUGCUCUCACUUUUCGCAUAUAUGUCGAGUCAUAUUUUCCCCCUCGACCACAAACCUUUAGCAUAUGAUGUAUCUCAUGGAAUUUGGAGUUGUGCUACAACUUCUACUGCAGUUGGUUCCUGCUAUGAUUUCUUGUCCUGAUCAAUAUGGUGCCUUAUACAGGAUUAAAACUACUCUGUAUGGUUGGCUGGCUUCCAACUUGUAAUGCUGACAUGCUUUAGGUUUGACUCGCUUGGAAACCAUAAGCGCAAAUAAGUUCCUCUAAGUGCCUGCAGAAACAAGAAUACUGUUAUUUUUCCUUCUCUUUGUUUCACUUUUGCUGAGAUGUCACAAUGAUGUUCCUUAUUUGAUUUAUUUACGGUUGGUGCUUCACAACUUUUUCCCUUCGA